UACGAAGGGGGCUAGCGUUGCUCGGAAUCACUGGGCGUAAAGGAUGCGUAGGCGGGUCUUUAAGUCAGGGGUGAAAUCCUGGAGCUCAACUCCAGAACUGCCUUUGAUACUGAGGAUCUUGAGUUCGGGAGAGGUGAGUGGAACUGCGAGUGUAGAGGUGAAAUUCGUAGAUAUUCGCAAGAACACCAGUGGCGAAGGCGGCUCACUGGUCCGGUACUGACGCUGAGGUGCGAAAGCGUGGGGAGCAAACAGG
rnacentral:rRNA from 1 species